rnacentral:tRNA from 1 species
AAGGUACUAGUAAAAUUAAUAACAUUGCUUUGUCAAGGCAAAGUUGUAGGUUAAAAUCCUACGUACCUCA